UUUAUAACUCAACUUUGGAGGCUUGCCAGAGUCUCGCCAUUGAGAGAAGGAGGAGGAGGAGGAGGAGUAAGGCUGGGAGCCUGAGGUCGCUCUAAAUCCGUUUAAAAAGCGCCAGAGCUCUCCGUGCUGUGAUCAUACACAGACACACACCCCGACAACACACACCACUCGACACCUUCUCCUAACGCCAGCGCUCGUUGUCCUGUGGCACGGCAGUAAUCUGAGAGGUGAAACACUCAGAUGAGUCUCUGCGUUUGAGAUUUGACCUGCGAGGUUGACAGCCUGAAGACGUGGAGCCAGUUUUGGUGUGACGCACAUUUUAAGCUUCAAAUUCCUGUCCCCAGUGACUGCUCUCUAAAAUUGUGUCCUCUGGAGGAAUGGGUGUGAAGGUACUCCUGUGCUUCCCCUUCUACAGACGCUGCAAAGAGCGAUGCAAGGACAGAGAGUGUCCUCCUGAAACAGAACCUGCGGUACCAAAAGCAGAGCCAAAGCCACGUCUCUGCUCAACAACAUCGACAGUCAGUGAGUGCGACAGUGGGAGCAGCCUGGGUAGUCCUCAAGCAUAUUUUUCCCAGAAGGCUCGGCUCUCCUUUAGGCACCAAAUGGAUAGCAACUUCAAUGCAAUAGAUGCCACAUAUUAACACCAGUCACUCGCCAAGGUUUUGAAAAUGAACUCUGACCCCUGUUAAGAGCUGGGUUAUGGUGUCAAGAUGGCGUCUUCAUGCCACUCAGGAUGUCCUGAAUUCUGUUCAAUAUAGUCAUCUUAUGCUCUUAUGAAUGGAAUGGUUAUACUGAAGAAGCAAGUGGAGAAAAGAGUGCAUUUAGGAAAAAAAAGUUUACAAGAUUACAAAAAGUGCUUUCUAUGUUCUGUUUACAUCCCACGAUUUUCUGGUAUGACUCCUUUCAAACUGUGAUCCUCCAAGGGCCACAGAUGUCUGCUUGCUUCUGGUAAUUCUGUGGAAA